UAUAUAUAGGGGGGUGGUGAGAGCUGGUAGCCAAGUUGUAUGGACAUGAAGUAGCCUUUGAUCAUGAUUGACGGUAGUGCGUGCACGAAGCCGAUGUCCCUAGUUAGACGCCUAACGAGCCGUUUCUUCGGCGUGGCUUUUGCCAUUCCGUUGACGUGAUAAUGCGUUCUUGAUGAUCCUAUUCCGAAGCGUUGCUCGUUGCCCAUGGUGGUGUUGGGACAUGCUCCUCCUAGGACAUGGUGAUUGGGUGUGCGGAAAUGACGGGGGACCCUUUUCGAUGAAUCUUAUGGCGUUGUGRGCCUCGCAAUGCCAUUGUAACGUGCUCGCCAGACGAUCCUAUAACAAAGCAUUACUCGUCACUCCAUCUUGGCUAGUGACUUGUUUUGAGUUGUUUGAGGUGAUGGUUAGCAUGAUGAGGCAUGUAGGAACUGUUUUCCAGGUCGAGGCAUUUGCCUCCCUGGUAAACGGAAACAACGUCAAGARGGAGUGUUGCUUGUUGAUCCGAGUUCGAUGCUUGACCUGCUUCCCAUGGCGGUGUUGGGGCUUGUCUUCUUGAGGACAUGUUGGAUCAAAAGCAUSCCCGAAUCUGACGGGGACCCUUUUCGAUGAAACCUGUGGCGUUGUCGGGCCUCCCAAUKCCAUUGGUAACGUGCUUGSCAAAACUAUCCUUUAASGAAGCAAUUACUCGUCMCACCAUCCYGGGKAGAUGACUUUGUUUUNGAGUNAGUUUKAAGGUKAUGGUGAGCAUGAUGAGGCAUGUUGGUAUCGUUGGCUGUUAUUCUUUUCGCAUCGUUCGGUGCAUCUUGGGAGCUGUUCUGACUUUUUGUUGCUUUCUUGGCUAGAAUGCCUAGUGGGUGGCUAAUUGUUAGGCGGUUUUCGUGGAUGAUUACCCGUAAAGGUGCAUGAGUGGUGUUUGGUUUGUUACCGGUGGUUGGCUCUCUGCUUUUGCAACAACUUCCACGUGGCAAUCCUCUUCAGCUUUGCGUCAAGGUUGCUAUUCCUUGAGCGCUAAUGGUUUCCUGUGUCGCCUACCUACGUGACGGUAUCGGUUGAUUACAUCAAAGUCUUGUUUCAUCAUGUGUCAUUUUAGUAUGGCGUAGGAUGAACCCUCAAAGAAGCUUGUAUGAUCCCACCUUGUUGAUGCACAUGCAUCGAUGUUGUGGCUCAUUGAGUUUCACUUGGUUUUCUGGAUACAGAACAUGGUAUGGGUGUGGGUCCCAUGCGAUCCUUGUUUUGCCCUUGUUGAACGUUGUUAUUACUCCGAGAUCACCGCCCAUCCCGAAUUGGCUCGUACCACCGGGGUAGGUUAAGCCGUUGAAGAGCAAAUAAUAGCGUUCAUGCUUCUCUAAAACAGACGGGCUCGCCUGGAUUGGCUCGUACCAGCGGGUGGGCUAUAUGUCGAUGAGGGAUGC
rnacentral:misc_RNA from 1 species